AUUAAAUAUAUUUCUAAUUUACUCUGAGUAGUAACAGCUUCAGCUAUAAACUCAAAGAAUUUGGCGGCAACUUUACCUGUUAGAGGAACCUGCCCCGUAACCGACGAUCCACGUUUUAUUAACUUAGUUUCAAAGUUUGUAUACCGCCGUUUAGAUUAUAUCGUAAAAUAUACUCGUAAUUAAAUUAUUAAGUAUGUCAGGUCAAGGUGCAGCUGAUGAUUAAGAGGUGGUGGGUUACAAUAUUAUUAAAUAAGCGGAUAAUAACUAAAAACAAUAUGAAGAUGGAUUUAAAAGUAAUGUCUUAUUAGUUUACAUGAAAAGGUUCUA
rnacentral:rRNA from 1 species